AACGAACGCUGGCGGCAUGCCUAACACAUGCAAGUCGAACGAGACCUUCGGGUCUAGUGGCGCACGGGUGCGCAACGCGUGGGAAUCUGCCCUUGGGUUCGGGAUAACAGUUGGGAACGACUGCUAAUACCGGAUGAUGUCUUCGGACCAAAGAUUUAUCGCCCAGGGAUGAGCCCGCGUCGGAUUAGCUAGUUGGUGAGGUAAAGGCUCACCAAGGCGACGAUCCGUAGCUGGUCUGAGAGGAUGAUCAGCCACACUGGGACCGAGACACGGCCCAGACUCCUACGGGAGGCAGCAGUGGGGAAUAUUGGACAAUGGGCGAAAGCCUGAUCCAGCAAUGCCGCGUGAGUGAUGAAGGCCUUAGGGUUGUAAAGCUCUUUUACCCGGGAUGAUAAUGACAGUACCGGGAGAAUAAGCCCCGGCUAACUCCGUGCCAGCCGCCGCCGUAAGAC
rnacentral:rRNA from 1 species